rnacentral:lncRNA from 1 species
CUUCAGUUCCCUUUGGGUUCACAAAUAGGCAUGUUUCGCCAGCUGCUCAGGCUAUUUUGGAAGGAAAGUGGAGAUCAAGGAGAGACCACACCAACACAGAAGGAAGGUGACCUCCUGUGUAGUAAAACAGGAAGGAUGAAAUCAUUCUGAGGAAGGCUUGCUCCUGUUUCCUGACCUGCUUGAGUUCCGGUCCUGGCUUCCUUUGGUGAUGAACAGCAAUGUGGAAGUAUAUGGCUUCUGCUGAGAACUGCAGUUCGCCUAGAAGACACCAAGGGCUCUACAGUGUCCCCUGUGGUGCUGAGACAGCAGAGACAGAUGCCAAUUAAGGUCCUUGCAGGUGUGCAUCUCCAGAGACUGACCUUCCUUCCAUCCACUCUUUGGCGCUUUGGUAAUUGAGUUUGCAGAAACAAAUCAACGAUUGGCAGAAAUAAAGGAACAGAAUUAUUAAUGUACAAGUAGACAGCUGUCACGCUGAGCAUGAAACUCAGACAUGAGCCCUGACGAUUGUGGCUUAAGGAUUCUUUAUGAGGAGGACAGAAGUGAGGCCACACCAAUUUCGGAGGAGAAGUCAAUGAUUUAUAGGGGACAUGGGCCAGGCACAUAGAAGUGACAGCGUCUGGGAAC